rnacentral:tRNA from 1 species
GCUUUCGUGGUGUAGUGGUCAGCACGCUGGGCGCGUAUUCCAGAGGCCCGUGGUUCGAGUCCCGGUAAAGGCG